rnacentral:misc_RNA from 1 species
UCACUUCCUUCCAUUCAACCCAACUGACAAGCGAACUGCCCUGACAUACAUUGAUGCCGAUGGAAAAAUGCAUAGAGUCAGCAAGGGUGCUCCAGAGCAGAUCUUGAAUCUUGCACACAACAAAUCAGAGAUAGAAAGAAGGGUUCAUGCUGUGAUUGAUAAGUUCGCAGAGCGAGGAUUGCGCUCUCUUGCAGUGGCAUACCAAG